AGGAAUAUUGGUCAAUGGGCGAGAGCCUGAACCAGCCAAGUAGCGUGCAGGAUGACGGCCCUAUGGGUUGUAAACUGCUUUUAUAAGGGAAUAAAGUUAGUCUCGUGAGACUUUUUGCAUGUACCUUAUGAAUAAGGACCGGCUAAUUCCGUGCCAGCAGCCGCGGUAAUACGGAAGGUCCGGGCGUUAUCCGGAUUUAUUGGGUUUAAAGGGAGCGUAGGCCGGAGAUUAAGCGUGUUGUGAAAUGUAGGCGCUCAACGUCUGCACUGCAGCGCGAACUGGUUUCCUUGAGUACGCACAAAGUGGGCGGAAUUCGUGGUGUAGCGGUGAAAUGCUUAGAUAUCACGAAGAACUCCGAUUGCGAAGGCAGCUCACUGGAGCGCAACUGACGCUGAAGCUCGAAAGUGCGGGUAUCGAACAGGAUUAGAUACCCUGGUAGUCCGCACGGUAAACGAUGGAUGCCCGCUGUUGGUCUGAACAGGUCAGCGGCCAAGCGAAAGCAUUAAGCAUCCCACCUGGGGAGUACGCCGGCAACGGUGAAACUCAAAGGAAUUGACGGGGGCCCGCACAAGCGGAGGAACAUGUGGUUUAAUUCGAUGAUACGCGAGGAACCUUACCCGGGCUUGAAUUGCAGAGGAAGGAUUUGGAGACAAUGACGCCCUUCGGGGUCUCUGUGAAGGUGCUGCAUGGUUGUCGUCAGCUCGUGCCGUGAGGUGUCGGCUUAAGUGCCAUAACGAGCGCAACCCCUCUCCUUAGUUACCAUCAGGUCAAGCUGGGCACUCUGGGGACACUGCCACCGUAAGGUGUGAGGAAGGUGGGGAUGACGUCAAAUCAGCACGGCCCUUACGUCCGGGGCUACACACGUGUUACAAUGGCAGGUACAGAGAGAUGGUGUUCUGCAAAGCGCAUCAAAUCCUUAAAGCCUGUCUCAGUUCGGACUGGGGUCUGCAACCCGACCCCACGAAGCUGGAUUCGCUAGUAAUCGCGCAUCAGCCAUGGCGCGGUGAAUACGUUCCCG
rnacentral:rRNA from 1 species